rnacentral:rRNA from 1 species
CAUCGGAACGUGCCCUGGAGUGGGGGAUAACGUAGCGAAAGUUACGCUAAUACCGCAUAUUCUGUGAGCAGUAAAGCAGGGGAUCGCAAGACCUUGCGCUUUAGGAGCGGCCGAUGUCGGAUUAGCUAGUUGGUGAGGUAAAGGCUCACCAAGGCGACGAUCCGUAGCGGGUCUGAGAGGAUGAUCCGCCACACUGGGACUGAGACACGGCCCAGACUCCUACGGGAGGCAGCAGUGGGGAAUUUUGGACAAUGGGCGCAAGCCUGAUCCAGCCAUGCCGCGUGAGUGAAGAAGGCCUUCGGGUUGUAAAGCUCUUUCGGUGGGGAAGAAAUUGCUUCGAUUAAUACUCGGAGUAGAUGACGGUACCCGCAUAAGAAGCACCGGCUAACUACGUGCCAGCAGCCGCGGUAAUACGUAGGGUGCGAGCGUUAAUCGGAAUUACUGGGUGUAAAGCGUGCGCAGGCGGUUGUAUAAGUCAGAUGUGAAAUCCCCGGGCUCAACCUGGGAACUGCAUUUGAGACUGUACGGCUAGAGUGUGGCAGAGGGGGGUGGAAUUCCACGUGUAGCAGUGAAAUGCGUAGAGAUGUGGAGGAACACCGAUGGCGAAGGCAGCCCCCUGGGCCAAUACUGACGCUCAUGCACGAAAGCGUGGGGAGCAAACAGGAUUAGAUA